CACUGCCCCACGCUGCAUGGGGGGGCUCUCACUCCUCAGGCCUCCCCAUGGCUGCCCAGUCUGCUCCAGCUCUGGCCCUUUAAGGAAAAAAAAAUGAGAAAAACCCUGGACUCAUUGUUCCUGCCAGCGCGGGGCAAUCCCCGCUGCCACUGGGGCUCUGCGCAAACCUCCUGAAGCCCGAGGCUGUUGCAGGAGUGAAAGAAAGUGCAACCUCCUGUGAAUCCCAAGAGAGACUGAAUCCAUGGCCAGGAACCCAAUUGUACCUGCCCUCCAGUGCAGUUCCUAUGACACAUGAAUCACUGCCAUUGGCAGGCCAGCGUGAAGGAGGCAGGAAAUCGCAUACACAUGCACACACAUAUUCGCAUACACACUCAUGCAUGCAGAGUCAGCAGUGAUAAGAAAGGCACUACAGGAAGAGCAUGUGACAGUGAAAUGGAAGUUAAUUUGCUCAAUAUGGUAUUUUACAGAAGAAAAUGACUGAGCAGGGCCCUAGCUCUUGGAAUAUGUACCACAACCCCUUGCAUAUGACAGCAGUGAAAAAGUGUCAGCUUCCAUAUGUUACAUUAAAGUGACACUUGCCGUGCUAAACGCUGAUUAGAACUAAAAUGGGAAAGACAUAGAUGUGCAUUAUGCUGCCAUUAAUCUUAACGGCCUGAGUUUCGUGUUGACAGUGGGCUUGAGAGGGGGGGAGAGGCAAUUGUCUUUUCUUUUUUUCUUGAUGUAAUAAAAGCAAAUGCAGCUCUGAGUACCAACACCGCACAAAUGCAUUGCAUUUCAGUGUAGACCACAUGGAGAGGGACCUACUUAAAUCACAGCAAGACAAAGGGUUUUUCACAGCCUGCUCACAGUGUGCAGAGCUGACUUCACAAGCAUUUCAUCAGGCCCCACCCCUCUGUACUGAUUGGCAAAGAGGCCCUGACCCUAGGUGCUGAUUGGUAAAGAGGUCUUGGCAGGGGAGGAGGAACAAGGAAACAACUACCAUCUUGUCUGCUGUCCUUCAUGCCACCCCACCAGCUGACACUUUCCCAUCCCAGCAGUGAGGACCUCUGGCUCCCACCAGGGACCCAGCAUUUUAUUUUUAUUAAAUUUUGUUGAUUUUUUGGAUUUUGCAAAAUCAACAAAACUGCAAAUUAAGUAGGUUCCUACACAUGGGGUCUGGGGCGGGAGUCCUGAUCCUGCUACUCCCACCCCCUAGACAGUAAGGACCCAUCUACUAAAUUCAUGUAAAAAUAUGCAAAAAUUCUUUGCUGUCAAAUGCUUAAUGUAGGCUGAUAUACUAUGGCUGAGUAUAUGUAUUGGCUGUGCAUGCUUACAGUCCGCCAGUUGGAUGUGUAAAUGUUUUCUGCUAUUACUGGUUAUAGACACACCCUUAUGAUAACUGUGCACAUAAAUUAUGCUCUGAACUGAAGAUGGACAGUUAGAAAAUCAGACCAGUAAGGCAAAAUUUAUACUCAAUCACAGCUAAUUUAAUCAUGUUGAGAAAACGUAGUUCAGCUGAGUGGAGAAAGACUGGAGGAGCGAGGGAGAGUGCCAGUGCCAGCUAACCAUGGGCCAGCCUCAGAAAGUGUGGAGGUCCUGAGCUGUGCUCAUGGAAAGUUGGUAUCCAAAGUUAGAGCCAAGAAGCCAGUGAGGACAAGCUCACACAAGAAUAUCAAAGUUGCGGAGAAAUCCUGAGACUAACCAUUGCCAAGGAACUUCAGUCAGACCCAGUAAGUGCAGAGAUGUAUUGAAAUGUUUCAACAGACUAACAGAAAUGGACUCAUGCUACAAAAUUCAGCUCUAGACCUGAAGGCUGAGCAUUGAAAUGUUCAUGACCAAGGUUUUCCAAACCCACUAGUUAUUUUGAGCACCAAGUGCCCAUGCUCUGAAGAAUAGAAAACUCCCAAGUAUCUCAAAUAGGACACCCAAAAUCACUAGUUAUUUUUUAAAACCUAGUUUUAUUUGGAUCUGGCUUUUCUGUUUAAUCCAUUGUAAAGAUAGGGACCUAUGGCUGCUGCUUAGACAACAAGACAGCAGAGCUCAGCUUCUGAUUUUAGUCGAAGUGCCAGUUCUCCCACCCAAUGAUUUUUUUUUUUAUUAUCUGGCAAAGCUGAGCCCCAUGCAGCCUGCAAAAUAGCUUGGGCUAACACAGAAAAAAAAUGUUGCAAACUGUUCUCCAUCACAAAUGUGGCUUAGGCACAGCAAAGGGGAGAUUUUUUACCUCCCUAUAACAAACUAAUGCACUGCAGCCUGAGAGGGGAAAAUUGAAAUGCUAAGGGCUAAGUUCUGCUUCUCCUUGCUCAGAUGCAUUGCAGAGCAGUCCAAACCAGCACACAGGAGCUGGACACUCGCUAACACCCUCGCUGCUCUCCUUUACCUUAAGGGGAAAUGACCAUACAGUUUAAAAAUAUAGGUCAUCCUUCCUGUUUACCUGUCAAUAAAGGCUCAGAUUCACCAAGACACCUAGGUGCCAGUAUCCCAUGGACUUCAGUAGAGCUACAUAGCUGCUUAAAUUGAUGUGUGCGCUCACUUAUCAUGCUGAAUCAGGGGUAAAACCCAAAAUUUAGUGCUUUGAAAAAAAUCAGGAAAUUUUUUAUUAAAGUUUCUAAGACCAGCCUUAACUCUGCCCCAAGCCCCCAGUGAGCAUCUCUCCUACAGAGGCAUUCCCACUCAGGCUCCACACAUGAGGGAUAGUAUCCUGCUCUCUUAUUUCAUCCUCACAACACUGAGGCAUAGUGAGGGGCUUUGGGGGAGGGAAAGAGAUUCCUGUAGUGCCUGUAAAGUUGUAGAUAACGUUAAGCUUUGUUACACCAAAGAGGCAUCGCUAAGCUCCCAUGACCUUGAACGAGAGCUGCAGCUUGGGUUCCGCUCUUAAAGACUUUAAUAAAGUGAAAAAUUGUUUCAAUACAAAAUGUGAUAUUAGGAUAUUGUUCGUGAAUAUAUUGAGCUUAAGUCCAAUACUAUACAUUCUCAAAUCCGACUGAUUAAUAAUUAGAACCAGAAAUUCUGUCUUUACUCUAAUGUGUUUAGGAAAACUGAUGGAUUUAAUUUUUUUAUCAGCCCAA